UUGACGCAACAGCAAAUAACUGAAUUGCGGGAGGACUUUUUGUUUCUACCCCUUUUCAUUUUUAUACUGAUUUGGAG
rnacentral:pre_miRNA from 1 species